rnacentral:rRNA from 1 species
GUAAGGAAUAUUGGACAAUGGACGCAAGUCUGAUCCAGCCAUGCCGCGUGAAGGAUUAAGGUCCUCUGGAUUGUAAACUUCUUUUAUAAGGGACGAAAAAAGGCUUUUCUAAGUCGUCUGACGGUACCUUAUGAAUAAGCACCGGCUAACUCCGUGCCAGCAGCCGCGGUAAUACGGAGGGUGCAAGCGUUCUCCGGAUUCACUGGGUUUAACGGGUGCGUAGGCGGGCAGGUAAGUCAGUGGUGAAAUCCUAGAGCUUAACUCUAGAACUGCCAUUGAUACUAUCUGUCUUGAAUAUUGUGGAGGUAAGCGGAAUAUGUCAUGUAGCGGUGAAAUGCUUAGAUAUGACAUAGAACACCUAUUGCGAAGGCAGCUUACUACGCAUAUAUUGACGCUGAGGCACGAAAGCGUGGGGAUCAAACAGGAGUAGAAACCCUGGUAGUCC